CAAGUCGUGGGGCAGCAUGUCCCGUAGCAAUACGGGAUGAUGGCGACCGGCAAACGGGUGCGGAACACGUACACAACCUUCCUUUUAGUGGGGAAUAGCCCGGGGAAACCCGGAUUAAUACCCCGUAAUAUAAUAGAGUGGCAUCACUUUAUUAUUAUAGCAGCAAUGCGCUUAAAGAUGGGUGUGCGACUGAUUAGGCAGUUGGCGGGGUAACGGCCCACCAAACCUACGAUCAGUAACUGGUGUGAGAGCACGACCAGUCACACGGGCACUGAGACACGGGCCCGAGUCCUACGGGAGGCAGCAGUAAGGAAUAUUGGUCAAUGGACGCAAGUCUGAACCAGCCAUGCCGCGUGGAGGAUGAAGGUCCUCUGGAUUGUAAACUUCUUUUAUCUGGGAAGAAAUCCACGAAUUCUUUUGUGGUUGACGGUACCAGAUGAAUAAGCACCGGCUAACUCCGUGCCAGCAGCCGCGGUAAUACGGAGGGUGCAAGCGUUAUCCGGAUUCACUGGGUUUAAAGGGUGCGUAGGUGGGCAGGUAAGUCAGUGGUGAAAUCUCCGGGCUUAACUCGGAAACUGCCAUUGAUACUAUCUGUCUUGAAUACCGUGGAGGUCAGCGGAAUAUGUCAUGUAGCGGUGAAAUGCUUAGAUAUGACAUAGAACACCAAUUGCGAAGGCAGCUGGCUACACGAAUAUUGACACUGAUGCAUGAAAGCGUGGGGAUCAAACAGGAUUAGAUACCCUGGUAGUCCACGCCCUAAACGAUGGAUACUCGACAUACGCGAUAUACUGUGUGUGUCUGAGCGAAAGCAUUAAGUAUCCCACCUGGG
rnacentral:rRNA from 1 species